AUGUUGGACCAGAUGAAGGCUGUGGCUGUCCUUGCCAUCACCAUAAAAAAAGGUAUGAACACCAGAGUACUUGUCACUGUCCUGUUUAUGGUAAUUGUUGCCGUAAACACAGCAACAGCUACAACUGGAUUUGUCAUGAACCAAACGCCUACUCCUCUCAAUGUAGCUGUGUCUAAUCAAAAGUGUAACAUAACAAAGUACUGUGGAUCCCUGCCCUCUUCAUGCAACCCUUCCUCACAAAGCUGCUACUUUGCCUCUGCACAGCCAAAUGCAGCUGGUUUUUUGUUUGAGCUUUCAGGGAAUGCAACUGGCUACAUCGCAGCCACAGUGACUUCUAACUCUGCAUUUGGAAAAAAUGAAACAACCUACAUCUGCGCAAGCGGCAGCUCAACUGUUGAUUUCUACACUGCUCUGCUCAACAACAUCACACUGAUCCCAGCAAAUAUGAGCGUGCCCUCUGUGAACGGCACAAACAAUGGAAUCAUUACCCAGUGCCUAAUUAAUACCACAAUAAUAAGUGCUACUCUGGUAAACAUCUACAAUGGAUCCUACAAUAGCACUACUCGUGACUUGGGAAACCUCAACUUCCUGUUCCAGAUUAACGUUACACCUCCGUUAGGUAACAGUACAGGAUCAAAUGACGGCAUCACCAUCCAGCAUUCAAUGACACAAGCUCUGCUGAUCACUGCAGGUGUGCUGGUCCUGGCGUUGAUGUGAGGAAAGUGAAGAAGUCGUACAAAUGUAUUAGAGAUGGAAGUAUGGGUGAUGGGGGUUGUUUAUUCUUCCACAGCCUUCUGACUUCUUUCAUGUCUGAAACCAGUGAGAGAAUUAAGAUUAUUAUUCUUAAUGUGAUUUAUUGUAUUAUUUAUUCAUUAUGUAAGUCAGACCUACAGUAAUCACAGAAAUUAUUUCUGCUUGGUUUCCUAGUUUAAAUUGGUUAAGUAAACCAGCACCCGGUUUUCAGAACGUGAAUUAAUGUUUAACACACAUUCUGGAUACGGGGUCAACUUAGUACCACUGGAUAUGAAGUGAUGAAUAAUUAUGUCUUCUGUGUAUAUGUUACUACCUUACACAAUCAUCCAUGUAAUGAAGACAACAACUUACAGUCAUAAUUGUGUUAAUUUAAGGUGAAUUUUAAUGUUAUUUACCUUUUUUACUUGUUUGUUUCUGCAAUUUUUUGUACACCAAUUAAAAUGAAAGGUGUGACAAUGUUAGCAGUUGUAAUGUAUAUUUGUAAAGUUCACAGUGAUAGACAGUUUUCAGCUGGUUUAACAUUUACUGGUUUACGUUCCUUCACUAUUUACUGGGACUCUGUGAGAGGCCUUCAGGUCCUGUUGUUUUAAUAAAUGGCUGCAUCACAGCCUACA
ensembl:lncRNA uncharacterized LOC114851153